UUGAAUAUGAUAUCGUAAUUAACACAUAUAAGUAAAAAUAUUUAUGAUUUAAUUUUUUAAAAAGGAAAAUUUGUUAAAAAUGCAGGAAUACUGUUGAAUGUUGAAAAAAGGACUCAAGAGAAUCACUUGGCAAUUAUUUACCGAGGAGAAGGAGGAAGAGCUGGUAGUUUUUCAAACGAACACAUUUUAUUUAAAACGUGUUUGUUUUUAUGUGCAAUAACUCGCUGCCUGAUAUGUAAAUUUACUGUAUGAAAUGCUUAUGUGUCCAUUGGGUAGUUUUACAGUGAUAUUGAAAAAAUGGACUUGUUUUGUUAGGUGGAUUGAGAUGGGCUUGGUUUGAUGGUGAGAUGUAAAUUGUUGAGAUCAUAAUAGAAUUUCAAUUUUCAGAGAGAUUCAUUUUCAUGGGUCCAAGAUUAUGAAAAUGACAUCAAUGAAUAUUAAAUAAAGGAGAGUUUUAGGGAGUAAGAAUUGAAAAAGCAUUCUGAGUCAGCUAUGAAGAUGUCAGAAUAUUGUGGAGACAGGCAUCAGUGGUGCCACUGAUUUCUAGGUGUAUGUUAUUACCAAAGGUACAGUCAUUUUGGAUGAGUGCUUAGUAGCGAUAGGCCUACUGUCAAGAUAUGCUGUGUUGAUAUCAGCUAUAAUGCUUUUCAUAGCUUGAAAUUAAUAUGUGGAAUGAUGGUGUAUAGCGACUCAGCAUUCAUAGUUGUUAAAAUAGGUUUGUUAGGGAGAUUGCUAAUGGAUUUCAGACUUCUUAGGAAGUUUGUUGUGUCUCUUACAUAGUUAGGAGUCUGAGGGAUACCUCAUCAAUCCCUUGUCAUGGAUAGAUUAUUCCAUUAAUUGGAGUUGCUAAUCUGUGCAGAGAGAAGAGUGCAAAUAAAAUGGCUUUUCCAGACAUCUGAUGGAUUCAGGUUUUCAGAUGACAGUUGGGGAUUUACCCAGUAGUUUAAAAGACAGUUCUAUUGAACACCUUGUUAGCUUCUGGAGGACCUUCCUGACUUUCCCAAUCAGCUUCUUGCUUUUUUGAGAAACUCUGAAAAAUGAAAUGAGUGAAGAGAUGCUCAUGGAAAGCAAGAAGCAAAUAUGAUAUGACAGGGGUACAAGUUUAAACCUAUUUUGUCAUGAUAAGGGCAGUGAAGGCAAAUUAAUUCUCCAUUUUUAUUAUAUCUGUACAAUCUGCCAGCUAUACUAUUGAAAGUGUCCCUUAAUGGCGGGAAUGGCCAGAAGAACAAAUUAGUGCAAAUUAUGAUCACUUGUCUAAGUACUUUAUAGAAAAAAAUAACUCAUAUUCACUCUUGAGUUGGAAGCCAGAUGGACAGAAUCAUUUGAGAUGAUAGAGAUCAGGCCCCUGGAUAUGUUUUGGUGUGCUAUAGGACUUGAUCCUCUUCCCUGUCCUGUUUAACAUCUGAAACUAUUGAGAGUGGUUAUCCAUUACUUCCAGGUGAGAUAAUAGGGUAUGCGGAUGAAAUGUAACUCUGUACUAAAUGAGAGAUGGAGUAGACAUCCUAGAAGUAGUCUGGAUGGACACAUACUGGUACUUUCUAUAUCUGUAGAUACUCUAUAUGGCAUGCAAAGUAAGUUCAAAAAUAGUGGUGUUCUUGAACACUAUUUAUUUAAACUAGUACAUAUGUAUCAUGAAAGUUGGAAACAGGAAGGAGGAUGAGAAACAUUCUAUUGUAGGAUCAUUGUGGAAUGUUGAUACAAUACCACAGCAUUAAUUUAAAAAAUUGGAUAAGUUGGUAAUUAGUAUAUUAUUAAUUUCUUAAUGAAUUAUUUUUCAGAAAAGUGCUUGAAUUAUUUUAAAACAUGUCUGCAUAUAGCUAUGCUGCUUAUAGAGAAGUCACAAACUAUUAACAAACUACUUAUUAUAGCUGCCCAGUUUUGGUAUUUUUUUCUAUGGAAAGAGAUAAUUUCUGAGACUCCUCUCUUACACAGUCAUAAGUGUCCUCCCAGGUAAUCCAAUGUCUGGAUUGUCUUUUAGAAAGCUGUGCACAGAAACUAAAAAGGAGGAACUAAUAGAAUAUAUUUGAUGGCUAAAUGAGAGAGAAAUUAAGUUUGGGUUACUAUCUAGAAAUGAAUCGUGUUAUUUGUAAGUUUAAAAGUCUCCUUUAAAUGUAGUUUGGCUAAGGUGGGUUAUGGUAAAAAGAUUCUUUGUAUCUUUUUAUUUACAUAUGCAUUUGAUUGAAUCAUAAAAUAUCUAGACGCCCUUAGUUUUGGGGGAAAUUUACCAUUUCCUGGUUCAUCCUUUGGUCUUUACCACAGAAUAUAUGAGAGCGUGAGCACACUUGAAGCCUAGGCAUUUCUCAGUUGUAAGUAGAUCCUUCUUGAAAACCUUCCCAGGCAGCAAAGAAUCACGGGAAGUUCCAUUCCUUGCUUUCUCCUACAACAGGUGUCUUUGUUCAGUCACCUUCUGCACACAUUAUCAACCCUUGCUGAGUCAGACUGAUAGAACUACAAAGGCGAGAAGGAGUACUUUCAUUUCUAGCAAGGAUUUUUAACCAGGAAGUUGAAGCCAGAAAAUCUUAUUUUAAAAAAUGCUUUUAUGAAAAGUUUCCCUACCCCAGUGACAUAAUCUGAAGAAUAAAGUGGAGGAUUUAGAAUGACAGGCAGGAAUUCUACCCACUGAUGAUGAAGAAGAAUUACUUGUUUACAAUAUGGAUCAGAGCUGCCUUCAUUGGGAAGAAAACAAGUAAGCCCACAUUAGCCUCAGCAUCGCCAAACUGCAUUACUAAAAUAGCUUUUUGGAUUAUAUAUGAGAUAUUUUAAUCUCAAGGAUUUGUUCUUCAUGCUUUCUUUAUUUAAACCUAUUAAAAUUCUGCCCAGUUUCGCAGCAAUAAUAUGGUGCUUUUAUUUCUCUCUUAUUAAAACACAAAGGGCAUUCCCAGGUUUGCUAUUUAAGUGCAAAUAAUAUGACCAUGAAAGAUUUUCGAAGUACUUGCUGAGAAAAAUGAAAUUGAGGGCAGAGCAAAGUUAUAUUUUCAUUUUGCAAGAGACAAACAUGUGACAUUUUGCUAACAAUUGGACUUACAAGCAUACAUUUUGUCAUUACACUAUCACUUCUGUCAUUUUUUAUAUAUAUAAUUAGGCUUUUUAUCACAAGGCUAGGCAGGAGAGAAUAUUUCAGGAAACCGCAAUGGAAUGAGUCAUUUUUAAAAUAUAUUCUGUUUUUUUUAAUUUAUAGAACGCUGUUUUCCAAUAUUUUAGAAACAUAGAUGGAUAUACUAUGUUAAAAGUUUUUCUAAAGGUUUUCUUUAUUGGUAUGUUGGUCAAUCUAUCAGUUCUGUGACCAGCACCUUUUUCAAUUAAAAGGAUGGGAUGUUACAUACAAAAGUGUGUUGGAUUCUCUUUCAUUUUUGGAAAAAAAUAGUUUAUUUCUUGUGAAUGAAUAUCACAAUAAGAUUGUGAUUAAAUAAGAUUUUACUAUCUUACUUUUUGACUAACGAAGAAAGCUUGGUUGUGUUUUAACCCCAUUUUAAAAAUACCAAUUAAUUUUUGUAAUGUUAGAAUAAUUUUUAAAAAGUCAAAUGUGCCUUGAAAACAUAUCCAACCAUGCAAAUAUGGAUUCUUUCCGAAAUAUCAGGCAGGUUAUACAAAAAAAUCCCAAUCACGACAGAAUGCUAUUCAUGUCUACUGUGCAAAUCUGUGGAAAAGGCAUAAAACAACUCGCCUUGAGAAAUCUGACUCCUCCACUAAAAGGAAUCUAGUGUGAUUAAAUAUUGCAUUUAAAGAAAGCUUUGUGAGAACAUAGGAGAUCUUCGCUGUGGACUGAACUGUUCCUCUUUCUCUCGGCUUCUUUCGGAAUUACUUUUUUGUUAGGAGAUUAUUUUUUAUGGUUGAAGAAAACUUAAGGAAAGACUGUUACCAUAUGGAUAUAUGAACAGGUGUUUCAGCUAUCUGUGCCACACAGAGACCAAGAAAACUCCCAAAGGAAAAGCAGCAUCCAGGAACUGUUCUCAUUGGCUGAGGGAGCUUUUCUUUCUUUUUCUUUUUCCUUUUCCUUUUUUUUAAAUUUUGUUUCUUCGGUGACACUCCCUGCCUAAUCACUUCAGGUGGCUGCUGUGAAAAAGUCAUACCGAGCUAAGCUGAACUGAGCUAAUUCUUCGUCCUAUUGCUGGUCACUGCUAACAGAGUUUGCUGACAACAUGAUGAAAGAAAUUUCCGUUGUGAUGGCCUACAAUUCUCAUGUCUUUAGCCAGCCGUAUGAUGAAGAUUUUCUAGCCAGCCUGGUGGCAGUCAGCAAACCUAGAUAUGUGGUGCCUACAAAGAAGCUGAAGAAAUAUGAGAGAGAAUAUCAAAUGAUGAGGGAGAAUCAGCUGCAGCAGGAAGACCCUUUGGAUCGAUACAAGUUUAUAUGUUUGUAGGUUAUACUUCUGGGAAACUGCAUGGCAUGCUGAAAAAGAAUGAGGGAUUCUCUUCUACUGACAUGCAAAGGAGGCAAAGAAUUAUGUGUUAGACAAAGUUAUGUGUGGUUCACUACCUUAGAUGCAUUUUGGAAAGCAAUUGCUUCCAUAAUUGACUGUCUGCACUGAAUGAAUGACUUUUUCCUCUAUGGUGCAAAUACUCUUGAUGAUUUAGUAAUAUUUAUAACACUCUCAAUCUCAUAGACUGAGAGGCAGAGAUGGCGAAAUAAUUCAUUUUAUUGCACCACAUUUCAAUGUUAUGUUGGUUCCAAGCAAGAACCAAACAGAAUUCCUUAGUAAAAUGGAACUCUAGUUUUAUACAUUUUGUUACAUUUUUGAUCUGAACUCCCAUAACUAGUUGCAUGGAACAAAAUGGCAACCUGAAAUUGAAGUUUGAAUAGUAUUUCUACCACUAACCUGUUCUUCCACUCAGUUGGCAUAUGUUAUAUACAUAUGAUACUUCUAGCCUACCUUACAGGGAUGUUGUAAGGAUUAUUAUGUAAUGUAUUUGAACCACUGAGUUGUUGAAAUGGGUUUUAUUAAGUAUUAGGACUGAAUAAUUGCACUGUGUAAAACUAAUAGGUCAAAUUACUUUCAUGUUUCUUGAACUUUUGUAAAUAUUGUUAUUUGUGAUAUGUAUUUGGGGCUUAGACUGGUAGAUAUUUUUUUUAAAUACCCAAAUUUAUGCCAAUUCUUUUUAGACAAGAUGAACCAAAUUUUGAGUAAUCUGGAAAAUUGGAUCUCUAAUUAUUAUAUUGCAUUGAUCUAAAGCAGAAUUUGAAUUCUAGCUUAAAAUAUUGUGGACAUGAUGUUCAUGUUACAUGUCAAUUAUAUAAUUUUAAGGUUUAGAUCUGCAUCCACAUAGAGAUUUUUGUCUCUCAAAGCAAACACUGAUGUAUUGAGGUCUUGUGACUGUUGAAUUCUGUGAGGUUCUUUAUCGAAUGAAAAAGGAAAAGGAGGGAAGAAUUAGAAUUGAAGAUGUUAAAAUUGUGACUUCAAACAUUCAGGGUUAAAUAUGUGUGGUUAUAUACAAAAGAAUGAUUCAUUGUUAUAGCCAAGGCAUUCAAAUAUGACAAUGUUGCAGGCAAUUCUUAAGCCAAAUGAUUUUCUGUUAAAAUGCUUGAUUUUAGACUAUUACUGAUAGCAAGAGGCUUUUCUAAAUCUUGAGGGUUUAACUAUUACUUUUGAUAGCUCUACAUUCAUUGAAAUGAUGUAUGUUCUUAAUGAUAAAAAGAGUAGACAGAACUUUGUUAAAGGAUUUUUGAGAGGCAGCUAUUAACUACUUUUCUCUCACUUUAUGUACCAAAUAAAUUGGAAUCCACUUUUUUAUAACAAUCUGUAGUAAAAUGUAAAUAUUGACAAAAGGCAAAAUGCAGAGAUAGAAUUCCAGACUGAUACUGGUGUAGAUUAUAACAAAAGCAGGGAGGAAAUCCAGCAGGUUCUGACAGGUUCUGGAGAACCGGUAGCAGAAAUUGUGAGUAGUUCAGAGAACCGGUAGCGGAAAUUUUGAGUAGUUUGGAGAACCGGCAAAUACCACCUCUGGCUGGUCCCAGAGUGGGGUAGGGAUGGGGAUUUUGCAGUAUCCUUCCCCUGGAGUAGGGUGGAAAUGGAGAUUUUGCUGUAUCCUUCAUCUGCUACGCCCACCAAGCCACACCCAUCAAGCAACACCACGCCCACCAAGCCACACCACGCCCACCAAGCCACGCCCACAGAACCGGUAGUAAAAAAAUUUGAAUUUCACCACUGAAUAAAAGGCAUGAGUUGAUAAUGUUGAAGAAACUGUUAUUUGAGUUUAAAUUAAUAGAUGUGUGAGGAAAAGAAAUUGCUAAUGAUUAUAGUUUCACAUAUUAUUUACAAGUCCAUAGAAUGGAGCUGGAUAGAUUACAUACUUGUCUCACUAAGUACAGGAUGUUUCUGUGACAAUAACAGUACAGGUAAUUCACUAUUUAAAUGUGUGUUACAGUGGGAUGGUGCUUCCCCAAACAUUCUUCAGUUUAAUGGAAGUUUAAUGUUGCCUUACAACUAGAUUAGUUCACUUUCCAAUCAACAGGACCUAGGGAGCAACCUCUCCUCAUCACUAGUUGGAACAGGCUUUGAAAGAAUGGAAAACAACAACAACAAUAUGGUGACUCCAAUUCCCAACCCCCAGAAUUGGAGCAGAAGGAUCUGUGGUUAGCAGUAUGAAAAACCACUGAGAGAUGAAGAAGCUCAAGGACAGAUGCACCACCUCUAUCUUGCUUAUAGCAGAGAUCACUGAUUAGUAUGAUCAGGGCUCUCCCUAUACUACAUACCAGUCUGUAUCUGAUUGGAAUGAGUCUAUAAUCCACUCCCUCCAGAAUCCCUGUAAUUGCAGUCUGACCACCUUCUUGACCACCUCACCUUGCUAGCAGUUAUAUAAAAUAGCUUAGUUCAAGGACUACCAAGGCAGAAGGUAUCAACCCCUCUUUCCACAAGUGCAGAUCUGUAUGAUUUUAGAAUUAGAAUUCUUUAUUGGCCAAGUGUGAUUAGACACACAAGGAAUUUUUCUCCGGUGCAUAAGCUCUCAGUGUACAUACAACAAUAGUGACAGAUCAUUAUCAUAGUGAUAAUUUAUCUUCCAAAUGGUUAGAAUAUUCCUAACCAUUCCUAUGAAAUGGUUCUGUAAGGCAAUCCUGAUUUCUAAAUGGUAAUCCUUGAUAUGGGCUUUUAUUCAUGUUUGAGUGCAUACACUCCAAGUCGUUUUCCAAUGCAUAUUUACCAUAUCUUUUGGUCCUUUGUCUCCCAUAUUUCUUUAAUAAAUCAAAAUAUACCCAGAAUCAGGUACAGGCAAUGACCACAUAGGAGUUAUGUGAUCGAAGGUCCAGAAAUAUACCCAUUUCAAAGACCAACAAAGCCUCAACUGAACUAUCUGCCAGAUCCCCAGGGAAGAUCCCAAGCUCCCAUGGCGAACCCUCUGAUGGCAGUGGGCUGAUGGAAUAGAACAUGUCCCUCCAUAAGGAGGAAGGACAGUAAGCUGAGAAGUAACUGGAGAAUUAUCUGUCCAUGGCAAUGGACUGAUACUAAAAUUCUGUACUACGGAUCACAUCACAAUUGCCUCAAAACAAAAGUCAUAUCAGCAUGCAGCUAUAGUAUGUGUUGGGCUGUUGAGGAUUUAGAAGAGAUUCAUGGUUGCCAUGGUGUCCACAACUCCUGAGCUAUCCUGCACUAUGUACCACCAUUCAGCAGAUUGAAAUCCCCCAGCACCCUUAGCUUUGGGGACUUUAUUGCCAAUUUGGCAGCAGAAUCUAUCAACUUGGGCAGGGAUGAUGCCUAAUAGCAGGGAGGGCAGACCCCUGGACAUAGCUCUGUUUCCUCUAUUUCAAGGAGAAGGUAAAUUGUUGAUUUUUAAGAUAGCACUUGGCUGGGCCUCUGGCAUGAAGGGAUAGGCUGAAUUCAUCCAAAGGAAUGCAAUCCAGUAUCAGAACAUGUUAUUUGCAUACAUAUUCAGAAAUCUGGUAAGGAUUUUCAAAUGAAUUUGGCUUGGUAAUCUAAAGAGACACCAUUGUUUGGUGUCUUUUACUGCAGGAAGUAUCUAUCUAUCUCUCCAUCUUUUAAAAUCUUUGCCAAUUCAGAAUGAUUAUAUUAUUACUUGUGAUCUGUACUCAACUGGUAUUUAACUCACAUCACCUCCCCAAAAAGUCCUGGUCUGCAAAUCAACAUAACUGUAUUCUUACCAUUUCUCUCAACAUUUCAUUGUGUCUGUAGUACCAAUUGCUGGUUUUCUUGUGCUUCAGUAAAGCAAGUACCUCUUCUAAUAUGAUGGCUACACAGUGAAAGGCUUCCUCUCUAGAAAUCUUUUGUAGCUUGAGAAUGUAUAGAUUUUACUCGGGGACCAGUCAGAGAGUUCCAUCAGCUCUAAACAAUGAGUUUUCCUUGCACAGCUUCAGUCUUGUCAACACUGAAAUGGAAUUAAGAUUGAGUGGCUCUACUCAUUGGCUCUUUCAGAAUCAGUCUCAUCCACUGACAUCCAUUAAGUAGCAGAGUGCAGGUUGUCCCAAUUAUUAUUAGUAGAAAUAGUAGAAAUAGAAAGAGAAAGUAUUUUGUUCACAACUAUUUCCUUGAUAUUGUUAGGAUUUAGUAUAAUUAAGUGAAACCUGUUGUCUGCUACCCAAAAGAAAUUUUGAAUAAAAUUCAAAAGGAGGAAUUUGGAAAUGGAGGAAAAACAUCUUAUCAUUGUUUCUUGAGGUUUAAAGGAUGAUCAAAAGAGAUGUUUCUCAGUGUUGAAGACUGCUUCAUUCAAAGACUGUUGGAUACAUUUAUGAUACUGUGAAUCCUUUUGUUAACUUUGCAAAAAUAUUGAAAGACUCAGUGUGCUGCAUGUAUGCAUGCUUAUUCGCUGAUAAGGUUAAAAAAAUUCCCUCUGUUUCCUGACUGAUAAUAUAUUCACAACAAACACAUACAGCCUUUUUACAGCUGAGCAUUACCCUUCUCUCUUUAUGCAUCACUGAAUGAAAGAGUCUCUAGUUCCACACUGCUUUGUUGAAUUCUUGCACUAUGCCAAAGAAUAUUGGAACAAAAUACUCAGGAAAACAAGCUUGUUUUCUUUAAUUUUCUACAUCAUGAGAUAUUAAGAGAAGAGAAGAAUUUUAAAUACAUUUUACUGAUUCUAAGUAAUAAUGGGGAAGUCUGGAGGGUCUGUCACAGUUGGUGGGAGAAAGCUCUUGUCAGAAAUUGUGGACAACUGAUCAUUUUAGAUUUACGGAAUUUAUUCCUGUGUCAGUUGUAUCUUCCUCUGACAUUUCUCUAUUCCAUUAUCAUUGAAAAAAAGAAUUCCCAGGAUUAUUAGUGUUCAACUUUUGUAAUAAUGCCUGAAUUGCAGGUAUCCCAUUCAUAAGAGAGCCAGUGUUUGGUGUGGAUGGAUGUAUAGAUAUUUCAUUGAGUUUAAAUGUAAUGUUUCUUUCCUGUUCACUUGACUUAGCUCUGGUUUUUGUUCUGUGUCAUAAUGAUAGCUGCCAGAGGAGUAACUGUUAGUCUGUUAGUAUAGUAGUCUAAUGAAUGUAGCAUACAUUUUUUGGACUGUGAUCCUCUUUAUCAGACACAUUGAAGAUAAUUGUUGCCCUUAACUGCCCAUUAUGACCCUGUGUUGACAGCCUGUAUGGAGUGAAUAUUGGAUAUGUCAAUGCAGUUAUUGUGUUUUGAAUUUAACUCAAGAUUUCAUAUUUAUUCAGUAAUGUAUAUACAUAUGUGCAUAUUUUUUUAGAGUUCGGCUUUCAGUAAUGAAUGUGUUCUCCUACCACCUUUUUAUUGUUUAGUUUGAAGAGUGCAAAUAUAUAUUCAAGAAGAGGUUGCCUUGAAAUAACUUUGCUUAUGUUACUUUAUAUUUUGCUAACUUGGCUAGUUAGAUGUUAUUUAAAUAACUUACUAAAUAGUAUGAUUUUUAGUACAAAGCAUAAGCCCUGAAUAACUAAAUCGCAUUUCUAAGAUUUUUUUCUCCAAAAAAACGUUUUCCAAACAUGGUUGUUUCUUCAUAUUAAUAGAAAUGCCAUUAUUUAGAAGGACUGCAGUUUGUUAAGCAAUUAUUUCAACAGUGAGUAGUAAAGAUAUUUUGCAACACUGCUAGAUUUCUAAAUCUUUUGUUUAGACAGACAGCAAGAUCUUUAAUACUGCCUUCAAAGUCUGAUAGUCUUAAGAGUUUUAAAACUUAAGAACUCAUGGACUUUGAAUAUUACAUAUAACCAAAAUAUGCAUAAAGGCAGAAAAUACAGGAGGCACACUGAUUUGAUCCAUUAAAAUCAGAGACGCAGUUUGGUGUAGUGAUACAAGCUUAGAAACCAGGAGACCAUGAGCUCUAGUCCCACCUUGGCAUGAAAGCCAGCUGGGUGACUUUGGUCAAUCGCUCUCUCAGCUCAAUCCACUUUACAGGGUUGUUGUGUGAAAAGCAGAAGACAGGAGGAUUAGACAUGUUCAUGUCCCAGCCAUAAAUCGCUGUUGGUACUUCAUAUUAAUAAGAGAAAGAGUCUUUUCAUGGUAAAUUUCUUUGAUGAAGCUCAGUUACAGUAAUAAGUCUCCCAAUUUCAUGAAACAUUCAUUUAGUUAACGUGUUUGGAAUUAGGAAUGCAGAAUUUACUUCUAUCUGGCAAGAUUUUUAGUCCAUCUAUUUCAGCAGCAGAGGCAGAGAAGUAGAAAAAAUAGUGGCUGAUACACAGUCUUACAUAUUAAUAUAACUGUGACUUAUAUUAAUAAUUCAGUCUGUAUUUUUAAAUUACCUAUAGCAGCAGAAAACCCAAUGGAAAAUAUGAAGUAUUUUACCCCAUAAAGGCUAAAGUAGUUUGCAAUAAUUUAUUAUGCAUUUAAUUUUUUUCAUUUGGACAUGAAAUUUUAAAACUCCAAACUAACCAAUAUCAAAAGCUCUCUUCUACAUUUCAAAUCAGAUUUUUUUAAACUGAAAAAGACAUGUUGUAUGUAUUUUGGUGAAAGAUGACACACCCAGUUUACAAGCAAUAGUGAAAUCUACUUGCAUCAAAUGGACCAAUUGCUGUAGUUGUUUAUUCUUCAUUUUGGGUAGUGCUGACAGCUUUGUGAGUUAGGACUUGCCUUCCAAGUCUGAGCUUCCUCCUUUCAAUCAAACAUUUGCUUUAAUAGGCCAUAGAAGGAAAUAAGCUAUCUUUCAAAAACGAAGCCCUGGACCUCCAUGCAGAAUUCUCAACGUGGGGUUUUGUUCCCUUCCUAAUUAUUGUUGAUUUGUCUUUAAAUUUCAUUGGAUUGCUUCUCUUUUUGUUUCUCAACUUUUUAUCCAUGAUUGAAAACAGUAGUUGCUUUGUGACAGUGCUGGAGAAUCAUAGAGUUGGAAGGUGCCUGAGGUGAUUGAAUCCUGCAUCUGCACACUGCAAGGAUUUACUACACCACCAUAGAAAACUAUCCAGCUACUAGUAGCAGCAAUAAGAAAUCUGCAGUAAGUGAACCAGUCAUUUGUGAGCAAACAACAAGAUGGUCAAGAGACAUGAGAUUGGAAAUUAUGUAUAUUGCGAGUGUGGCUAGUGAACCUUUCAACACUUGAAUGCAUGUCUCUCUGAUCCCCAGGAGUAGAGAAAUAAUGGAAGCUGUCUCUAUAUGCUAUACGGCAUGAGUCAGUUUUUGCUUUCAGUUCAUUUUUAAAGAAAAACUUUGAGUAAUUCCAGGAAGUGACCCAAAGGUGAAGGAAAGUUGAUCAGGAACGGAUCUCUCCCUGGUGGACAAAGCUCCUUGUUGCAGAUGAGGCUCAGAAGGAAUAAGGGAAAAAAGGCUGCAUCCAAGAGAAGAGAGGCUUAAUAGUAGUAGUAGCAGACAGGACUCUGUUUCCAGCCUGGGGACUUUCUUGGCAUGCCCAAGCAUACCAGCCUCAUCUUGGGAUAACAUCUUUGCUGCAUUGCCAAAAGAGCAGAAACCACUAUGUGAGCUUGAAGAAGAAAAGAAAACUACCUGUUUUGGACCGCCCUACCUGAUAAAAGUUGAUCAAUAGCGAGUUCCUGCACCUUGAGUGACAGACCCAAGGCAAGUAAUGCUAUGAUAUCCCAUUGUUCCCGCAUGGAAUAUUGACUGAGAAGUACAAACCUCUUUCUUAAGGCACUCUUCUUUUCAUGAAGCCAUUGGAGAGAAAUUGAGAGAUAACCCCUUACUUUACCCUUCAAAGCACAGGCAGCCAUCCCUCCACUGGGGAGUGCUAUUCCUUUAAUAGCAGCUGAUCUGCCUCUCUAAAGCAUUAAUUUCAUAUUAGUUCCCCUGAGGGAUAUACAUUACAAAGAGAUUUAGUCAGGGAUCACCUGGGUAAUCUGUACUGGGGCCUAUCUAUAUAUUGCCCCCACCUAAGUUAAAAUGGUAUUCUGCCAGCUUUCUCUCAAAGUUCUCCCACCCACUCUCACCCCCUCCUUCAU